GGAGCGUGUUUUGGGAGAGGGAAAUAGGAGAGAGAUACGGGAUUAUGAAGUUCUGUACAACAGAGCAGCAGCCGAAGUUCGUUGUAUUUGCAGCUGCUUCAACUUCUAUGGAUACCUGUGCAGGCACGCGUUGUGUGUGCUUAACUUCAAUGGUGUGGAAGAGAUCCCUCCAAAGUACAUUUUAUCACGCCUGUGCAGGCACGCGUUGUGUGUACUGAACUUCAAUGGUGUGGAAGAGAUCCCUCCAAAGUACAUUUUAUCACGAUGGAAAAAGGAUUACAAGCGAUUACAUGCAUCAGAUCUUGAAUCCAGUUCUACUGAGUCUACUG
rnacentral:lncRNA from 1 species